rnacentral:rRNA from 1 species
GAUGAACGCUAGCGGCAGGCUUAACACAUGCAAGUCGAGGGGUAAGCUUCUUCGGGAGCAGAGACCGGCGCACGGGUGCGUAACGCGUAUGCAAUCUACCUUUUACAGAGGGAUAGCCCAGAGAAAUUUGGAUUAAUACCUCAUAGUAUUACGACCUGGCAUCAGGAUGUAAUUAAAGUCACAACGGUAAAAGAUGAGCAUGCGUCCCAUUAGCUAGAUGGUAAGGUAACGGCUUACCAUGGCUACGAUGGGUAGGGGUCCUGAGAGGGAGAUCCCCCACACUGGUACUGAGACACGGACCAGACUCCUACGGGAGGCAGCAGUGAGGAAUAUUGGACAAUGGGCGCAAGCCUGAUCCAGCCAUGCCGCGUGCAGGAUGACGGUCCUAUGGAUUGUAAACUGCUUUUAUACGAGAAGAAACACUCCUUCGUGAAGGAAUUUGACGGUAUCGUAAGAAUAAGGAUCGGCUAACUCCGUGC